UACGGAGGGGGCUAGCGUUGCUCGGAAUGACUGGGCGUAAAGGGCGCGUAGGCGGCUCAUACAGUCAGGCGUGAAAUUCCUGGGCUCAACCUGGGGACUGCGCUUGAGACGUGUGGGCUUGAGUGGGGAAGAGGGUCGUGGAAUUCCCAGUGUAGAGGUGAAAUUCGUAGAUAUUGGGAAGAACACCGGUGGCGAAGGCGGCGACCUGGUCCUUGACUGACGCUGAGGCGCGAAAGCGUGGGGAGCAAACAGG
rnacentral:rRNA from 1 species